rnacentral:lncRNA from 1 species
GAUCAUUGUAGUUGUUUUCAAACCAGGAAAUUCUAUGAUUCUAUGAUCUCCUAGGAAGAAGUCCUUAGAGAUAAAGGAGUGGAACACAGGUGGCUACUCUUUAAGUACGUCUUUCUGAGAGCUUAAGAGCUCUUCAGAACAUGAAAGCAGGAAGAAAAGGCAGGAAACAGGCCUCAUAAGCUGGGAGCAGGGAGGUGCUCACCUGUAUCCUGUUUUUCACAGGAUAUGAAGGUAUCACUUCCCCAUUUUCCAAUAUCAAGCUGGAGUAAUUUGGUUAUGGGGCAGGUCUUCUGCCAGUAAACACUCCUGAGCACUCUCUUAGACAGCAGACAGCUCCAAAGAAAUGUUUUGAAUUGUAAAAUUGUCCACACGGUGAUGCUGAUUGCCUCAUAACGACACCCACCUCUCAUCUCCUAGAUAAGUCAGAGUCUUAUCACAAGAAGUGCCUCAGAAAGCAAGCUUUGAGCCAAAAACAAAGAAGGGUUCAGACAUGUCCCUGAGGGGUUUGUCCUGGGACUGGUACUCUAACAUC